rnacentral:lncRNA from 1 species
UUUCAGGUAGAGGCGCCAAGCGAAGCCUCGCCCAUUAGGUUUAGUUAGCUGCAGUGCUCGCUUGCAUGGUUAAGUAAUUAACCUGAGGGUGGAACAAAUCUCUGAGACAUCCUCACCCUUGAAGCUCCAGUGAACAUUGUGUCUGACUGCAGUAGUGAAACGCCUAAAGCUGCUGGUGAUCCAGUCAGCAUUUUGAAUGCUCCUAAAGUUGCUGGUGCUCCAGCUAGAAUUAGUGAAGCUUCUGGUUUCUGAAGCUGCAAUCAGCAUUGUGUCUGAUGGGAGUGCUGAUGCCAUCAAAGUUCCGUUUCGCUUCCAGUCUGACUAGAGCGCUGAUGCUGUUGAAUCUCCGAUCUGAUUCCAGCCUGUCUUGAGGACAUCCUAUCCUUCUAUCAUCCUUGUUCAGGUUGCAGUCAAAUGUAUCAAGAAAACAGCACCUGGAAUACAUCAACAAUCCAUGGUCUGAUGUUGUCUCCUGAUGGAGGCCGCUCUAUUGAUUCUAGACAAUGAAAACACCAGAGUCUUUCAAAUUAUCCAGCUGCUGGACUGGAAUGAUAAGGGGAACUAUUACAUCAUGGUGCUGGAGCGGUCUGAUCCCUGCGAGGACCUCUUCGUUUUCGUCCAGAGCCACAGAGAGACUUGAUAAAGAACUGGCACGGAUUGUAAUGUGGCAGGCAAUAACAGCCACAUACAUGAGCUGCAAAGGUGUUUUCCACCGAGAUAUUAAACAGGAGAACCUCCUUAUCAACAGGGACACACUAGAAGUCAAGCUUAUUGACUUUGGCUGUGGUGAUC